CGGACGGGUGAGUAAUGUCUGGGAAACUGCCUGAUGGAGGGGGAUAACUACUGGAAACGGUAGCUAAUACCGCAUAACGUCGCAAGACCAAAGAGGGGGACCUUCGGGCCUCUUGCCAUCAGAUGUGCCCAGAUGGGAUUAGCUAGUAGGUGGGGUAACGGCUCACCUAGGCGACGAUCCCUAGCUGGUCUGAGAGGAUGACCAGCCACACUGGAACUGAGACACGGCCAGACUCCUACGGGAGGCAGCAUG
rnacentral:rRNA from 1 species